GGCCCGAUAGUUCAGAUGGUUAGAAUGCCAGCCUGUCACGCUGGAGGUCGAGGGUUCAAAUCCCUUUCGGGUCGCCA
rnacentral:tRNA from 1 species